rnacentral:rRNA from 1 species
AGAGUUUGAUCCUGGCUCAGAGUGAACGCUGGCGGCAGGCCUAAUACAUGCAAGUCGAACGGCAGCACAGCAGAGCUUGCUCUGUGGGUGGCGAGUGGCGGACGGGUGAGGAAUACGUGGGAAUCUGCCCAGUCGUGGGGGAUAACGUAGGGAAACUUACGCUAAUACCGCAUGCGCCCUUCGGGGGAAAGCCGGGGACCUUCGGGCCUGGCGCGAUUGGAUGAGCCCACGUCGGAUUAGCUAGUUGGCGGGGUAAAGGCCCACCAAGGCGACGAUCCGUAGCUGGUCUGAGAGGAUGAUCAGCCACACUGGAACUGAGACACGGUCCAGACUCCUACGGAAGGCAGCAGUAGGGAAUAUUGGACAAUGGGCGCAAGCCUGAUCCAGCCAUGCCGCGUGAGUGAAGAAGGCCCUCGGGUUGUAAAGCUCUUUUGUCCGGAAAGAAAAGCGCCGGGUUAAUACCCUGGUGUCCUGACGGUACCGGAAGAAUAAGCACCGGCUAACUUCGUG